CUUAAGAUAGUUUAAAACAAAAACGAAGAAUUGUGGGUUCUUAAAUGGUACACACCUCUUAAGA
rnacentral:tRNA from 1 species